UAAAUUAAAUAAUAGACCGUUGAAAAUUAAUCUUAGUGCCGUUGAAACAAUAUUUGUGCGAAAUAUACGGUGAAAUAACACAGAAUCGAAAACGAGAAAACUGUAAAUGGAUAUAGUUCAUGGAAAAUGCGCGUAGGUGUGCAUGAGGGAGGAGGGAUGUGUUCGCCAGGCAAGUGUAGGCUGACUCCGAGGGGAUAAACGAAACUGGGUCACCCCUGGGAACCGGAGAGAGCCUGGCUCACAUCCGGGUAGAGAAGAGAGCCUGCGAGUGUUGGCGGCAACUCGGUACAACACCCACAGUAAUAUCGAGAGUGGAUCACGUCACGACGACAGGAUGUGUGUGCCUGCGCGUUACCAAUGUUGCCGGGGUAUCAGCUAUAUUCAUUCCGGGGUCUCGAGCUACCCCGAUCAAUAAUUCGUUUCCCAGCUGUCACGCCCCUCGCAGACGAAGGAACAAACGCAAUAUUAACUAAAGUUAAAUUAUAUAAUUAUAGUACAAGUAUUGUAUUAUUUAAUCUCGUCCAAAUCGAAGUAACUACGUCGAAAUAUUUUCACAAUAGCUGCAAAUGUUUGAAUCUCUUUGGUACAGGAUGAUAGAAGAUAUUUACUCUUGUAAAACAUCUUGUGUAGCAUGAUGGACGAUGUUUACUUUUUUACGCUCAUUUUCAUUCGUUUCUAUCAUCAUGAAAAUACGAUUAAAUUAAACCGAUUCACAUUACAGAAUUAACGUCAUUACUUUUUCAAUUCUAUUUAAUAUAUAAACAUAUCUCGCAACUGCAAAUCAACAGAUACGCCAUCUCUUGAAAAAGCAUCAAGACUUUUGUAUCCAUCUUCA
rnacentral:misc_RNA from 1 species